rnacentral:piRNA from 1 species
UACUGGAAAAGAGUGAGGGAAGAAGUC